AGCUAGUUGGAGAGGUAAAGGCUUACCAAGGCGACGAUCUGUAGCGGGUCUGAGAGGAUGAUCCGCCACACUGGAACUGAGACACGGUCCAGACUCCUACGGGAGGCAGCAGUGGGGAAUUUUGGACAAUGGGGGCAACCCUGAUCCAGCCAUGCCGCGUGAGUGAAGAAGGCCUUCGGGUUGUAAAGCUCUUUCGGCCGGGAAGAAAUCGCAUGGGCCAAUACCCUGUGUGGAUGACGGUACCGGAAUGAGAAGCACCGGCUAACUACGUGCCAGCAGCCGCGGUAAUACGUAGGGUGCGAGCGUUAAUCGGAAUUACUGGGCGUAAAGCGUGCGCAGGCGGUUUUGUAAGACAGGCGUGAAAUCCCCGGGCUUAACCUGGGAACUGCGUUUGUGACUGCAAGGCUAGAGUACGGCAGAGGGGGGUGGAAUUCCACGUGUAGCAGUGAAAUGCGUAGAGAUGUGGAGGAACACCAAUGGCGAAGGCAGCCCCCUGGGUCGAUACUGACGCUCAUGCACGAAAGCGUGGGUAGCAAACAGGAUUAGAUACCCUGGUAGUCCACGCCCUAAACUAUGUCAACUAGGUGUUGGGUGGGUAAAACCAUUUAGUACCGUAGCUAACGCGUGAAGUUGACCGCCUGGGGAGUACGGCCGCAAGGUUAAAACUCAAAGGAAUUGACGGGGACCCGCACAAGCGGUGGAUGAUGUGGAUUAAUUCGAUGCAACGCGAAAAACCUUACCUACCCUUGACAUGCCAGGAACUUGCCAGAGAUGGCUUGGUGCCCGAAAGGGAGCCUGGACGCAGGUGCUGCAUGGCUGUCGUCAGCUCGUGUCGUGAGAUGUUGGGUUAAGUCCCGCAACGAGCGCAACCCUUGUCGUUAAUUGCCAUCAUUUAGUUGGGCACUUUAACGAGACUGCCGGUGACAAACCGGAGGAAGGUGGGGAUGACGUCAAGUCCUCAUGGCCCUUAUGGGUAGGGCUUCACACGUCAUACAAUGGUCGGUACAAGGGGUUGCCAAGCCGCGAGGCGGAGCCAAUCCCAGAAAGCCGAUCGUAGUCCGGAUUGCAGGCUGCAACUCGCCUGCAUGAAGUCGGAAUCGCUAGUAAUCGUGGAUCAGCAUGUCACGGUGAAUACGUUCCCGGGUCUUGUACACACCGCCCGUCACACCAUGGGAGCGGGUUCCGCCAGAAGUAGGUAGCCUAACCGCAAGGGGGGCGCUUACCACGGCGGGGUUCGCGACUGGGGUGAAGUCGGAACAAGGUAGCCGUAGGGGCCUGCGGCUG
rnacentral:rRNA from 1 species